rnacentral:miRNA from 1 species
AAGUAAUGAGAUUGAUUUCUGU